AGCAGCCGACGCCAUCAACACAACAUCCAGCUGUCGUCGCCGUGCCUCAAGUCUAACACAGACGUCUUAUUUCGUAUUAACAACUUGUCCUCUACCCUUCAGACCGAACUAUUUGCCUUGCUUCUUGCACUGAAAUGUGUACAAGUCUCCAAGCUUGAUACAUUAAUUCCUCUACAACCUCUACAAGUCACCCAAGAAGGAAAACACUUAUUAGACUACAUUUAAAGCUCUGGUGUGGACAGCCUUGCUGUAUAUGAGACUCCUUGCUUCAACCACCACCUUUUGCUACUAGAAGCUAAAACAGAUGAAUUAUUUGUGAACCUGAAUUAUGAGAUACGAAGGUAAGGUAAUCAUUGGGUGAAAGCACUAAGCCAGUUAUUAGACAAGGGUAUGCUACCUAGAACUCCUGGUCAUGUAGCACAGUACACUGGGGGGUUAAUGGUGUUUGACACUCGUGAACCAUCAUUUUCAGUAAAAUAUUGGAUAAACGAGUAUAGAUCAAAUUUGUAUACAUAUGACAUAAUGUUAAUGUUUCCUGUUAACGAUAAGAGUGCCUGCUGAUGCUUAACAGUGCAAAUAAUUAAAUUAUAUGUAUAACCUGUCACUAGUGAUACAUAGUGAUACUACUAGUGAGGUGGGUGGGGUAAGAGGGAAUCCAUAGAUUAAGUAAAUGCCAAAUGCUUUUGUUGAGCAUAACUUCAUACUGUACAUUACAGUUUCUGUAUGUUAUUGGUGGAAUAAAAUAUCGGUUAAAGAAA